rnacentral:rRNA from 1 species
AACGAACGCUGGCGGCAGGCCUAACACAUGCAAGUCGAGCGAGACCUUCGGGUCUAGCGGCGGACGGGUGAGUAACGCGUGGGAACGUGCCCUUUUCUGCGGAAUAGCCUCGGGAAACUGAGCGUAAUACCGCAUACGCCCUUUGGGGGAAAGAUUUAUCGGAAAAGGAUCGGCCCGCGUUGGAUUAGGUAGUUGGUGGGGUAAUGGCCUACCAAGCCUACGAUCCAUAGCUGGUUUGAGAGGAUGACCAGCCACACUGGGACUGAGACACGGCCCAGACUCCUACGGGAGGCAGCAGUGGGGAAUCUUAGACAAUGGGGGCAACCCUGAUCGAGCCAUGCCGCGUGAGUGAUGAAGGCCUUAGGGUUGUAAAGCUCUUUCAGCUGGGAAGAUAAUGACGGUACCAGCAGAAGAAGCCCCGGCUAACUCCGUG